AGUGAACGCUGGCGGUAGGCCUAACACAUGCAAGUCGAACGGCAGCACAGUAAGAGCUUGCUCUUACGGGUGGCGAGUGGCGGACGGGUGAGGAAUACAUCGGAAUCUACUUUUUCGUGGGGGAUAAUGUAGGGAAACUUACGCGAAUACCGCAUACGACCUACGGGUGAAAGCAGGGGAUCUUCGGACCUUGCGCGAAUGUAUGAGCCGAUGUCGGCUUCGCUAGUUGGCGGGGUAAAGGCCCACCAAGGCGACGAUCCGUAGCUGGUCUGAGAGGAUGAUCAGCCACGCUGGAACUGAGACACGGUCCAGACUCCUACGGGAGGCAGCAGUGGGGAAUAUUGGACAAUGGGCGCAAGCCUGAUCCAGCCAUACUGCGUGGGUGAAGAAGGCCUUCGGGUUGUAAAGCCCUUUUGUUGGGAAAGAAAAGCAGCAGGUUAAUACCCCGCUGUUCUGACGGUACCCAAAGAAUAAGCACCGGCUAACUUCGUG
rnacentral:rRNA from 1 species